UACGGGGGGGGGCAAGCGUUUGUUCGGAAUUACUGGGCGUAAAGGGCUCGUAGGCGGCCAACUAAGUCAGACGUGAAAUCCCCUCGGCUUAACCGGGGAACUGCGUCUGAUACUGGAAGGCUUGAAUCCGGGAGAGGGAUGUGGAAUUCCAGGUGUAGCGGUGAAAUGCGUAGAUAUCUGGAGGAACACCGGUGGCGAAGGCGACAUCCUGGACCGGUAUUGACGCUGAGGCGCGAAAGCCAGGGGAGCAAACGGG
rnacentral:rRNA from 1 species